rnacentral:rRNA from 1 species
CGGGGCUAAUACCGGAUAAUAUUUUGAACUGCAUAGUUCGAAAUUGAAAGGCGGCUUCGGCUGUCACUUAUGGAUGGACCCGCGUCGCAUUAGCUAGUUGGUGAGGUAACGGCUCACCAAGGCGACGAUGCGUAGCCGACCUGAGAGGGUGAUCGGCCACACUGGGACUGAGACACGGCCCAGACUCCUACGGGAGGCAGCAGUAGGGAAUCUUCCGCAAUGGACGAAAGUCUGACGGAGCAACGCCGCGUGAGUGAUGAAGGCUUUCGGGUCGUAAAACUCUGUUGUUAGGGAAGAACAAGUGCUAGUUGAAUAAGCUGGCACCUUGACGGUACCUAACCAGAAAGCCACGGCUAACUACGUGCCAGCAGCCGCGGUAAUACGUAGGUGGCAAGCGUUAUCCGGAAUUAUUGGGCGUAAAGCGCGCGCAGGUGGUUUCUUAAGUCUGAUGUGAAAGCCCACGGCUCAACCGUGGAGGGUCAUUGGAAACUGGGAGACUUGAGUGCAGAAGAGGAAAGUGGAAUUCCAUGUGUAGCGGUGAAAUGCGUAGAGAUAUGGAGGAACACCAGUGGCGAAGGCGACUUUCUGGUCUGUAACUGACACUGAGGCGC